GGUUGGAUCAUUAACAAAUACAAGGCGCCGGCCAAAAGCCGGUUUCCUUCAACACCUGUGAACUGUGAAUUGUCUCUGGUGGAUUUCGUCCACCGAUUUUGAACCCUGAAAUACCUACGUCUUAAAUAAUUGUUUAACAAAAAACAACUUUUGACAACGGAUCUCUAGGCUCUCGCAACGAUGAAGAACGCAGCGAAAUGCGAUAAGUAAUGUGAAUUGCAGAAUUCCGUGAAUCAUUAAAUCUUUGAACGCACAUUGCGCCAUCCUUGAGGUGGCAUGUCUGUUUGAGAAUCAGUUUAACCAUCACACCUUUGGGGCGACCUAUUGGCGUGGAUCUGAGGCCUCUUUUUACGAGGGCCUUUAAUACUAGCUACACGCGGUUUCCACGGCACUGCUCUGGACGGCAAGACUAAUUGAAGAAAUUCAAUGAUUGCUCAAAGAACUGGACCAGGACUCUGAGUGUACUUUUAAACACGAAGGAAACUUCAAGACGUGAUCUCAAAUCAGACAAGACUACCCGCUGAACUUAAGCAUAUCAAUAAGCGGAGGAAAAGAAACUAACAAGGAUUCCCCUAGUAACGGCGAGUGAAGCGGGAAGAGCUCAAAUUUUAAAUCUAUCCGGUUCCCGGAUCGAAUUGUAGUUUAAAGAAACAUUUUCGGGGGCAGCCAAGCCUAAGUCCUUUGGGAUAAGGCAUCACAGAAGGUGAGAAUCCUGUAUGUGGUUUGGCGUUGCUUCUAUGUGAUAUGUUUUCGACGAGUCGGGUUGUUUGGGAAUGCAGCCCAAAAUGGGUGGUAAAUACCAUCUAAAGCUAAAUAUUGGCGAGAGACCGAUAGCGAACAAGUACCGUGAGGGAAAGAUGAAAAGAACUUUGAAAAGAGAGUUAAAAGUACGUGAAAUUGUCAAAAGGGAAACACUUGAAACCAGUCUUGUGCGCGGAAACCCAACUGAUCCAACGAUCAGCAUAUGUUUGCGUGUGCAGGUCAACAUCGGUUUUGGUCAGAGUACAACGCUGCAGAAAGGUAGCCUCUCGGGGUGUUAUAGUCUGUAGUAAUGCUUUGGCUGAGACCGAGGUUUGCAGUGCAGCCUUGGGGACCCAGAUGCCAGUUGAUGCAGUGUUUUGGAAAACUUGUUUACCAAGAUGCUGAUAAGGCUGCCCGUUUGGUUUACCACACCUGUGCUUAGGAUGUUGACAUAAUGGUUUUAAAUGACCCGUCUUGAAACACGGACCAAGGAGUCUAACACAUAUGCGAGUAUUUGGGUGUUAAACCCGGAAUGCGUAAUGAAAGUAUUAAGGUGGGAACCGCAAGGUGCACCAUCGACCGGUCUUGAAAUUUAUGGAUAGAUCUGAGUAAGAGCAUAUCUGCUAGGACCCGAAAGAAGGUGAACUAUGCCUGAAUAGGGUGAAGCCAGAGGAAACUCUGGUGGAGGCUCGUAGCGAUUCUGACGUGCAAAUCGAUCGUCAAAUUUGGGUAUAGGGGCGAAAGACUAAUCGAACUUUCUAAUGGCUGGUUCCCUC
rnacentral:misc_RNA from 1 species